UACAGAGGUCUCAAGCGUUGUUCGGAUUCAUUGGGCGUAAAGGGUGCGUAGGUGGCGCUGUAAGUCGGGUGUGAAAUUUCGAGGCUUAACCUCGAAACUGCAUUCGAUACUGCCGUGCUCGAGGACUGGAGAGGAGACUGGAAUUUACGGUGUAGCAGUGAAAUGCGUAGAGAUCGUAAGGAAGACCAGUGGCGAAGGCGGGUCUCUGGACAGUUCCUGACACUGAGGCACGAAGGCCAGGGGAGCAAACGGG
rnacentral:rRNA from 1 species